rnacentral:tRNA from 1 species
AUUUUAUUAGUUUAUAAAAAACAUUAAUUUGUGGAAUUAAAAAAAAAUUAAUAAUUUAUAAAAUA